AACGAACGCUGGCGGCGUGCUUAACACAUGCAAGUCGAACGCGAAAGGGACUUCGGUUCUUAGUAGAGUGGCGCACGGGUGAGUAACGCGUAGAUAACCUGUCUUCAUAUCCGGAAUAACACGCCGAAAGGGGUACUAAUACCGGAUAUUCUUGCAUUUCACAGGUAAGGCAAGGAAAGGUGGCCUCUGAUUCAAGCUACUGUAUGAAGAGGGGUCUGCGUACCAUUAGCUAGUAGGUGGGGUAAUGGCCUACCUAGGCGACGAUGGUUAGCGGGUCUGAGAGGAUGAUCCGCCACACUGGCACUGGAAUACGGGCCAGACUCCUACGGGAGGCAGCAGUGAGGAAUAUUGCGCAAUGGGGGCAACCCUGACGCAGCGACGCCGCGUGAGUGAGGAAGGUCUUCGGAUCGUAAAGCUCUGUCAAGAGGGAAGAAGUGCAAGGCAGCGAAUAACUGUUUUGUUUGACGGUACCUCUAAAGGAAGCACCGGCUAA
rnacentral:rRNA from 1 species